AAUCACUCAAUCAAUAAAACAAGUGAACUUAGAAACAUUGUGCCCAGAUCAGGAUUGUUAAUAUAGAUAUCUUCAUCUGAGAUAUCUUGAGAUAUCUCAUAGUUUAUUUUAAAAGGCUUAAGGACUUAGGGGGAGAAAAAAGCCAGCCAUUUCAGAGGUAAGAUGGGACUAAAAGUGAGGAUCAUAUCAU